UACGUAGGCGGAAAAUUAAGUCAGUGGUGAAAUCCUGCAGCUCAACUGUGGAACUGUCAUUGAUACUGGUUUUCUUGAAUUUAGUUGAGGUAGGCGGAAUGUGUAAUGUAGCGGUGAAAUGCUUAGAUAUUACACAGAACACCGAUUGCGAAGGCAGCUUACUAAGCUAUGAUUGACGCUGAGGUACGAAAGCGUGGGGAGCGAACAGGAUUAGAUACCCUGGUAGUCC
rnacentral:rRNA from 1 species